UACGUAGGGACCAAGCGUUGUCCGGAAUCAUUGGGCGUAAAGAGCGUGUAGGCGGCUUGUUAAGUCUUGCGUGAAAUCUCGGGGCUCAACCCCGAGCGGUCGUGAGAAACUGGCAGGCUAGAGUGCGGGAGAGGAGAGUGGAAUUCCUGGUGUAGCGGUGAAAUGCGCAGAUAUCAGGAAGAACACCCGUGGCGAAGGCGGUUCUCUGGGACGGUACUGACGCUGAGACGCGAAAGCGUGGGGAGCGAACAGG
rnacentral:rRNA from 1 species